UACGUAGGGUGCGAGCGUUAAUCGGAAUUACUGGGCGUAAAGGGCGCGUAGGCGGCACUGUUAGUCAGGCGUGAAAGUCCUGGGCUCAACCUGGGAACUGCGCUUGAUACGGCAGAGCUAGAGGAUGGAAGAGGGUCGCGGAAUUCCCAGUGUAGAGGUGAAAUUCGUAGAUAUUGGGAAGAACACCGGUGGCGAAGGCGGCGACCUGGUCCAUUACUGACGCUGAGGCGCGACAGCGUGGGGAGCAAACAGG
rnacentral:rRNA from 1 species